GGCACUAUGGCGGAGUGGUUAACGCGAUGCCCUGCUAUUUUAAAUCCCAAAUCGCAGAAUAUUAUCCUUUCCUGGUUAAGGCAUUUCCUUCGGGAGCGCAGGUUCGAAUCCUGCUGGUGUCG
rnacentral:tRNA from 1 species